rnacentral:tRNA from 1 species
GGAUGCUAUUGGGCUAUCGCUGCUAACGAUGGUUGGAAUAUUUAAUUAUAUUCAGCUUC